rnacentral:rRNA from 1 species
UCGAGAAUCUUCCUCAAUGGGCGCAAGCCUGAAGGAGCAAUGCCGCGUGCGGGAUGAAGGCCCUCGGGUUGUAAACCGCGAAAGUAAGGAGGAAGGCUCUGUGAAGAGCAGGGUUUGACCGAUUUACAGUAAGGCCGGGCUAAGUUCGUGCCAGCAGCCGCGGUAAGACGAACCGGCCAAACGUUAUUCGGAAUUAUUGGGCUUAAAGGGUGCGUAGGCGGCGCGGUCAGUCAGGUGUGAAAUCCCACGGCUCAACCGUGGAACUGCGCUUGAUACUGCCGUGCUUGAGGGAGACAGAGGUAAGCGGAACUGAUGGUGGAGCGGUGAAAUGCGUUGAUAUCAUCAGGAACACCAGUGGCGAAAGCGGCUUACUGGGUCUCUUCUGACGCUGAGGCACGAAAGCUAGGGUAGCGAACGGGAUUAGAUACCCCCGUAGUCC